UUUGUUUUUAAACUUUGGUUUGGGGAGGGAGGGGAAGUUGUUGCUAAUAAAUACCACACGUGCUUGAUGUAAACCACAUCAGGGUCGGAUUCUCUUGUUGCUGCAAGAUGGACAUUUAUACUGCUUAAUGUGCUCCGCCCUUGCCGGAGUGAUCUUGACACACUUCCCAUGGAACCAUUUCUCGCAUAUGUCACAGCAAAUCCAAAACUCAUCAGAUGCAUAAUUCUCUCCACAAGCUCCACAAAGUGUUUCUCCAUGUUCUUCCUCAUCUUCCUCUUCCAAGCCUUCCUCGUCCUCGUCCUUCGAUUGAACAGCUUUUGUAUUUUUUAUUUGAGGUUCGGA
rnacentral:misc_RNA from 1 species